rnacentral:rRNA from 1 species
UACGUAGGAGGCAAGCGUUGUCCGGAAUUACUGGGUGUAAAGCGCGUGUAGGCGGCCGGCCAAGUCUGUGGUGAAAUCCCUCGGCUCAACUGGGGGGGGGCCAUGGAAACUGGCCAGCUGGAGGACGGUAGAGGUGAGUGGAAUUCCCGGUGUAGUGGUGAAAUGCGUAGAGAUCGGGAGGAACACCCGUGGCGAAGGCGGCUGACUGGGCCGGGACUGACGCUGAGGCGCGAAGGCGUGGGGAGCGAACAGG